GUUAACACUGAUGGCUGCUGGUACGAAGCUGUUUUUGUAAUGUUUGGUUUUACAAGCUGGUACCGUAAACCUCCAACCUGAGGGGAGCAGCUGAAACCCACCAUGAAGAGGGUGGGAGACAUAUCUUAUUCAAACCAGUUCUCCUCUGU